ACUAUCGACUAUUCCGAGAAACCAAGCCAAGCCGACAGAUUUUUUCUUUGUCAUUCUGCCGUGUAUUUGUAUAAUUAUUAUUAUGUACAAACAGAAUCUUACCGGUCGCGAUGUCAACAAUAACAAUGUCGUUGAGCGCCCGGCCAAGCAGGUGCAUAUAAUAAUUCAGAAGGGUUCCGGCUACAAAACGCAAACCACUGUCCAGGGCCUAUCCGACGAGUGCAAAUUGAUAAAAAUCGUGCGCGCCUAUAAAAAGGAAUUCUCCUGCAAUGUAAUUGUCACCGAGCAUCCGGAGUAUGGGGAAGUUAUCCAGCUGCAGGGCGAUCAAAGUCAGAGGAUCUCCCGCUGGCUGGUCAGGAUGGGAUUUGCCAAAUCCGAUCAGGUGAAGUUGCACUCACCUGACGAGCGCUUUUAAGCACUCAUACUCUCACAUCAGCAGCAGCAGCAGCAGCAGCAGCAGCAGCAGCAGCAGCAGACAUGAGUCGGCAGAAUCGACCGACGGCAGACGGCAGACGGGGCCAAAUAUGAAACAAAUUUAAAUCAACUGUAACUAGCUCUCUUUCUGGUUUAAUUAAUGAGAGUGACUUGUGCUUGUACUGCGGGACAGCCGACGACUCCAAGGAUUCCAACAAAUCAUUCUGCCAACACACACACCCACACACACACACAUACAGAGAUUGUUUGCCAACACUUAGCCAAUGGAUUUCUGUAUUUAUUACAUUUUAUACAUAUACAUAUAUAUAUAUGGUACAAAUGACAGACUGUCGCCGACACGAUGAUUUGACGAAGCGAAACAGAGGUCUGAAACAAAAGAAAAUCACGCAACCCACUGUCAUGUCGGACCAAUAAUUGAAAAGUCCCCACUGCCCGCGCUGAAUGGUCGUCUGGCCAUGACAAUCAUCAAUCAUUUAGGUGUGUUCCCCCCGGCUGCCUGCUCUGCUCCUUUUCCUGCUGUUGCGUGAUGUUUGGCUGCCAUCCCCCUGGGUGGGGCCGGAACUCAAACAAUACACGGACUUCUAAGUAAUACAAGACACACACACACACACACACACACACUAAUUCGAUUUAAGCCGGCGAAAUGUAAGCUAAGAUACAUACAUAUGGAACCUGUUCAGAGAGAAGGGACAGAAACCUCUCCACUUCCAUAAUUUCCUAAGUAAUACAAGACACACACACACACACUAAUUCGAUUUAAGCCGGCGAAAUUUAAGCUAAACUACAUACGUAUUGAACCUGUUCAGAGGGAAGGGACAGAAACCUCUCCACUUCCAUAAUAUCCCACAUUUCGAUUUGGAAGUCUACAACCCCUCUACGACUAUUAGAAAUGUCUUACAAAACUGAACACAUCUUUACAUUGAAGAAUGUCUGCGGCACAUCUAUACAACUCACUAAAACUAAACUAAAUUUAAAUCAAAAUAAACAAUCAAAUGGAUGGAUUUGAAUUGGAACUUCAUUUAAUUAGAUGAAAAAUGUACCUUUUCACCACCUUUUCAUUGUAUUAGUUUAUUUGUUAUUGGUUCACGAAGCAUUUACUAAAUACAUUUAGUAUAUAUUGGUGUUUGGUAAUUGGCACCGCUUUAAAGUUGAUGGGUGCAAAAAAUAAAAACAAAAAAUGGAAAAUGGAAAAGGACAAAGAUCAG